rnacentral:lncRNA from 1 species
UACAGGGGGUGACUUGUCACAGAGUGAUUGAUGGCCAACCUUUCCCGACAGGCCCCACUACUGGCUGCUGCCCACCCUUUGCCUCCUCUCUGGCCACCCUGUGUACCUCCCCAGGUUUCCUGUUUCUCCCUGAGAGGCCUGGAUGACCUUGGCAAGCUUGGAUGACCUUGGCAAGCCCCCUUUGAACUUCACAGCAGGUAACAGCUGCAGGAGGACUGAGAGAUGGCAUUUGAGAGCUGCCUAGCUCCCAUCUGUACUGGGUUUCUAACUGAAAUGGAAAACCAGGAAGGACAUUCCAUUCCACCCUCCUCCAUCCAAGAGCCUCCAGCCUGGCCAGCUCAUUGUGUGGGGCUAGAGGUGGAGUAAAAGCCAAGGGGGGGGGUAUGACAGGGAGUGAGUGAGGUGUCUGGGAAAGAUGGAGGAGGGUCCUAGAGGAGGGGAGGUGAGCAACUGACUGGGACCCGAGAUUUCCUCUUCCAGCACAGUGCCUGCAGCUCUCUCCACCAGGUUGAAACUACUGGAAAUUGUCUGGUGGUGACUUUAGGUGAGGAGACAUGGGAGGUCCAGGGCUUAUAACA